rnacentral:rRNA from 1 species
UACGAAGGGGGCUAGCGUUGUUCGGAAUCACUGGGCGUAAAGGGCGCGUAGGCGGACUCUUAAGUCGGGGGUGAAAGCCCAGGGCUCAACCCUGGAAUUGCCUUCGAUACUGAGAGUCUUGAGUUCGGAAGAGGUUGGUGGAACUGCGAGUGUAGAGGUGAAAUUCGUAGAUAUUCGCAAGAACACCAGUGGCGAAGGCGGCCAACUGGUCCGAUACUGACGCUGAGGCGCGAAAGCGUGGGGAGCAAACAGG